rnacentral:rRNA from 1 species
AACGUAGGAGGCGAGCGUUAUCCGGAUUUACUGGGUGUAAAGCGCGUGCAGGCGGUUUGUUAAGUUGGAUGUAAAAGCUCCCGGCUCAACUGGGAGAAGUCGUUCAAAACUAGCAGACUAGAGAGCAGCAGGGGAAGGUGGAAUUCCGGGUGUAGUGGUGAAAUGCGUAGAUAUCCGGAGGAACACCAGUGGCGAAGGCGGCCUUCUGGGCUGCAUCUGACGCUCAGACGCGAAAGCUAGGGUAGCAAACGGG